rnacentral:rRNA from 1 species
AGUGAACGCUGGCGGUAGGCCUAACACAUGCAAGUCGAACGGCAGCACAGUAAGAGCUUGCUCUUACGGGUGGCGAGUGGCGGACGGGUGAGGAAUACAUCGGAAUCUACUUUUUCGUGGGGGAUAACGUAGGGAAACUUACGCUAAUACCGCAUACGACCUACGGGUGAAAGCAGGGGAUCUUCGGACCUUGCGCGAUUGAAUGAGCCGAUGUCGGAUUAGCUAGUUGGCGGGGUGAAGGCCCACCAAGGCGACGAUCCGUAGCUGGUCUGAGAGGAGGAUCAGCCACACUGGAACUGAGCCACGGUCCAGACUCCUACGGGAGGCAGCAGUGGGGAAUAUUGGACAAUGGGCGCAAGCCUGAUCCAGCCAUACCGCGUGGGUGAAGAAGGCCUUCGGGUUGUAAAGCCCUUUUGUUGGGAAAGAAAAGCAGCAGGUUAAUACCCCGCUGUUCUGACGGUACCCAAAGAAUAAGCACCGGCUAACUUCGUG